rnacentral:rRNA from 1 species
UACAGAGGUCUCAAGCGUUGUUCGGAUUCAUUGGGCGUAAAGGGUGCGUAGGUGGCGCGGUAAGUCGGGUGUGAAAUUUCGGGGCUUAACUCCGAAACUGCAUUCGAUACUGCCGUGCUUGAGGACUGGAGAGGAGACUGGAAUUUACGGUGUAGCGGUGAAAUGCGUAGAUAUCGUAAGGAAGACCAGUGGCGAAGGCGGGUCUCGUGGACAGUUCCUGACGCUGAGGCACGAAGGCCAGGGGAGCAAACGGG